CCUACGGGUGGCAGCAGUGGGGAAUAUUGGGCAAUGGGCGCAAGCCUGACCCAGCAACGCCGCGUGAAGGAAGAAGGCUUUCGGGUUGUAAACUUCUUUUGUCAGGGAAGAGUAGAAGACGGUACCUGACGAAUAAGCCACGGCUAACUACGUGCCAGCAGCCGCGGUAAUACGUAGGUGGCAAGCGUUGUCCGGAUUUACUGGGUGUAAAGGGCGUGUAGCCGGGUUGACAAGUCAGAUGUGAAAUCCUGCGGCUUAACCGCAGAACUGCAUUUGGAACUGUAAGGCUAGAGUGUCGGAGAGGCAGGCGGAAUUCCUAGUGUAGCGGUGAAAUGCGUAGAUAUUAGGAGGAACACCAGUGGCGAAGGCGGCCUGCUGGACGAUGACUGACGUUGAGGCUCGAAAGCGUGGGGAGCAAACAGGAUUAGAUACCCCAGUAGUC
rnacentral:rRNA from 1 species